GGGAGAUGGCUCAGUGGUUAAGAGCACUAAUUUCUCUUUCAGAGGACCUGGGUUCAAUUCCCAGCACCCA
rnacentral:tRNA from 1 species